GCCGGCGUGGCAGCAGGCGUGGCGCGGCGGACUCUCCAGGAGACGAGUCCCGUGGCUGCCCCGGUGGAGCAGCGGGCUGUCAGUGAAUGCACCCUUUUCCACAUGGUUGCCGGGCCAGCAGUCGCCCCGGCGGCUUCCCACCGGACCUGAUCUGUCCCCAGCCCUGCGUCAUCUUGAGGGGCGGCUUAUGGCUGCCCUAGCCUUGGAAGUCCAACGUGGGACUGGCUGAAGGUCUCGUCUCAGAAAGUCUGUUGCCUGACGGGACUUUUUUUUUUUUUUUUUCAAAGGCCUACCCUUCGGUCCUCAUGAUAAUCCCCGAAAUAGGUAUCAUUAUCCUCAUUCGUCAGAGGAAGAAUCAGAGGCAGCCUUUCUCAAUAUUUUUACUCUGGAGGAAUCCUUUAAAGUAAUUCUCAUAUCUCAGGGAACCAUGCCUAAAUAUUAUGUCUGCAGCUCAUGACAGAAUAAGGCACCAAGUUAUACCUAUGAGAUACUGAAUAUACAAAAGGACAAUGGCCAGUCCCUAUAUAGAAACAGGACUCUGACAUGCCAUUGCUGCAACCUGCGGGGGGGAGGGAGAGGGGGGGACGACGACGACGACAUCAACCCCUUAUCUACAAUAAACAGCCCAGGGAACCAGAUUGCUAUUCUAGCAACAAUCCAGGAAGCUAAAAAAUAACUUCUGUAACAGUAGGCCCCAAAUGACCAGGACUUGAUCAAUAACUGACAGCUUCCCUCAUUUUUGUCCCCAUCUUCCCCAUGCCGACGGCCUCCAAUGAGAGUCGACCAGAAGCUUUGCGUUUUUUCCACUGUAGAGCUUUCCCGUUCCUCUGCCAGCCUUUGAGUCGCUGCCAAAAUUCCUUUUUGGGUGCUACAAUAGAAUACCGUAGACUGGCUGGCUUAUAAACAACAGAAAUUUCUCACAGUUCUGGAGGCUGGGGAGUCCAAGGUCAAGGCACCAGCAGAUUCAUGUCUGGAUACAAAAAGGUGCUCAACUUCAGUAACGAUCAAGGAAAUGCAAACUACAAGUCACCUGAUUGGCACUGGCAACACCAAGGAAGAGGAAGGCUGUAAAAACCACUGCAACAUUCAUUUCUGUCUGUUUUUAGAAACCAUGACCAGCCACCACUUUGAAGAAUCAGUGGCGGGACAGAGUGAACAGGGCACAAGUGGAUGAAGGGAAAUGAAGUGUGACCUGGAGGACAAGCUGUCUGUGCCUCACUUUGUCACACCUUGGCCUUCACAUAUACUCCAAAGGCUGCUUACUGUAAAGGCCUGCAGCUGGAGACCUCAGCGCUUUUUCUGCGGGCUGCUGGAGGAUGCGGGACCAUGCACGGGGCAAGCAGGCGUCCUAGAGGGAAGAGGCCCCAGAAACAGCCCUCAAACAAAGACAGAUGGCGUCGAGACCAUCUUAAUGAUCUCAGCCCCAGAAAUUCUACUUGACUAAUGAUGACCAAGAAGAUUAUGGUAGGGUUGGAGCAAGCCUGACCUGAAGCCAGAACGGAAAAAUUCACACAGAGCAGGAAAAUGGAUCAGAUGUUUUCAAGUGGCAAGUGGAAGAAAAACCUAGAAAUCAGACAAGUGGUUGAGAGCGGAGCCAUCCUGCCACCUGUUGGCAGCUCAGCGGCUGCUCA